rnacentral:rRNA from 1 species
CCUACGGGGGGCAGCAGUGGGGGAUAUUGCACAAUGGGGGGAACCCUGAUGCAGCGACGCCGCGUGGGUGAAGGAGUGCUUCGGCAUGUAAAGCCCUAUCGGCAGGGAAGAAGCAAGACGGUACCUGACUAAGAAGCCCCGGCUAACUACGUGCCAGCAGCCGCGGUAAUACGUAGGGGGCGAGCGUUAUCCGGAUUCACUGGGUGUAAAGGGAGCGUAGACGGCCAUGCAAGCCAGGGGUGAAAGCCCGGGGCCCAACCCCGGGACUGCCCGUGGAACUGGGCGGCUAGAGUGCGGGAGGGGCAGGCGGAAUUCCUGGUGUAGCGGUGAAAUGCGUAGAUAUCAGGAGGAACACCGGCGGCGAAGGCGGCCUGCUGGACUGCGACUGACGUUGAGGCUCGAAAGCGUGGGGAGCGAACAGGAUUAGAUACCCCAGUAGUC